rnacentral:rRNA from 1 species
CCUACGGGAGGCUGCAGUGAGGAAUAUUGGUCAAUGGACUAGAGUCUGAACCAGCCAAGUAGCGUGAAGGAUGACUGCCCUAUGGGUUGUAAACUUCUUUUAUAUGGGAAUAAAACGUUCCACGUGUGGGAUUUUGUAUGUACCCUAUGAAUAAGGAUCGGCUAACUCCGUGCCAGCAGCCGCGGUAAUACGGAGGAUCCGAGCGUUAUCCGGAUUUAUUGGGUUUAAAGGGAGCGUAGGUGGAUUGUUAAGUCAGUUGUGAAAGUUUGCGGCUCAACCGUAAAAUUGCAGUUGAAACUGGCAGUCUUGAGUACAGUAGAGGUGGGCGGAAUUCGUGGUGUAGCGGUGAAAUGCUUAGAUAUCACGAAGAACUCCGAUUGCGAAGGCAGUUCACUGGACUGCAACUGACACUGAGGCUCGAAAGUGUGGGUAUCAAACAGGAUUAGAUACCCUGGUAGUC